rnacentral:ribozyme from 12 species
CCGGUGUCUCGAGCCAUGUCUCGGGGUGCAAGGCAAAGUUUGACGAGUUGGUCUCGAGCCACGAGAUGGACGUUCAGUCGUUCCAGGGGUACGGAUCCAGCAGUAUAAAGAAGAUGGGUUAUUCUCC